rnacentral:lncRNA from 1 species
GCUUCCUGUGCGCGGCCGAGCCCGGGCCCAGCGCCGCCUGCAGCCUCGGGAAGGGAGCGGAUAGCGGAGCCCCGAGCCGCCCGCAGAGCAAGCGCGGGGAACCAAGGAGACGCUCCUGGCACUGCAGGUACGCCGACUUCAGUCUCGCGCUCCCGCCCGCCUUUCCUCUCUUGAACGUGGCAGGGACGCCGGGGGACUUCGGUGCGAGGGUCACCGCCGGGUUAACUGGCGAGGCAAGGCGGGGGCAGCGCGCACGUGGCCGUGGAGCCCGGCCUGGUCCCGCGCGCGCCUGCGGGUGCCCCCUGGGGACUCAGUGGUGUCGCCUCGCCCGGGACCAGAGAUUGCGCUGGAUGGAUUCCCGCGGGCAGAGGCAGGGGGAAGGAGGGGUGUUCGAAACCUAAUACUUGAGCUUCUUUGCAAAGUUUCCUUGGAUGGUUGGGGACGUACCUGUAUAAUGGCCCUGGACCAGCUUCCCUGUUGGAGUGGCCAGAGAAGUGUGUAAAACACACUAGAGGGGCAGGGUGGAAAAAGAGACUGCCUUCAAAACUUGUAUCUUUUCGAUUUCAUUUUGAAAAAUAACUACAAAUCUAUUUUAAUUUUACAAAGUUAGACUCAUAGCAUUUUAGAUAUCAAUGUCUUCAUUUAACAGAAGUGAAGAUGGAGCAAACGCUCAAUCAGCGUCUGUAUUUAUUCGCUCCUGUUGUGCCAGGGUGCGUUUUUGCCGAGCGGUUGCCUUUCUUUACUCACAAAACCCCCUUGAUGUCUGUCCUCCACGUUUUACGAGGGAGAGCCGGAUCUUUUGAAGUUUGUAUCAUCUAAAGCAGGUAUAUUGGGAUGACUAUGGAUAGAAUUUAACCUGAAAACACUGAAGUUGACAGCUGACAAAGAUAUAAGAAUCCAAAGUAUGUUAAAAAUUAAGGAGCUGAGGCCCACAGAAGUGAAGUUACUUUUCCAGCAUCACACAGCAGAUCUAGGACCCUGUGUGAUUUGAAAAGGCCAAGGUAUCUAAUGAUGCUCAUAAUUUAGUUUACAUUUUGUGUCAAAUAGAUGAGGUCAAGUGGACAUUAUGUGUAUAUUCCAAAGCCAAAAUUACUGCUUGUAAUAUCCAUUCAUCUCUCCGAAGACGUAGUGCCUCUUUUAUAUGGCUUUAACCUAAUGUAUAAUCGAAGUGAAUUAGGGCAGCCAGACUUUUAAUCACAGGACUGAUCUUUUAAAAACGGGUAUAUGUAAAGUUAAUUGCUUAUCUAUGUGAACAGUAAUAUACACUAUAAAAAGUUUUCAAGGCAACUUCCUGCCUGUGGUUUAAUUUGAUAGUCACAAUGAUAGGAAAUUGGCAGGGUUAGGUGGUGGUAUCUACAUUUUGCCCAUGAGGACUUGUGGCUCAGAGAAUUUGAGUUUUUUCUAGUAAGGUCACUAGGUCCCUAGUGCACAGCCUGCUUUUAGGUACGGAUGUGGGAUGGGGGUGUCGGCAGACCACAGGGUUUUGACUCUCAGUUUGGGCUCAUUUCCAUGACUCCUUGCUGCCUCCCUGAUUUCUGUCAAAUGACCAAAGCACAUUUAGUAAUUACUUCUGCUGCAAGGACUACUCCUUAUUAGGCUGUGAUAAGUAAGUUUCCUCACAUAGUGGGUCAGCUCACUCUGGCCACAGGACCCAGCUUCCUAACCACACACAUUAAGAAAGAGAAAAAUUAGCACUGUCUGAGACCUACAACCACUUCAAGGGAGAACAGUGGUGUUUGCACAAAUGUCUACUUUUGUUUUAACCUAGUCAUGUGUAAAAAGUGUAAUUCACUGGUCUUUACCAAAAAAAAAAAAAAAAAAACAACAACAAAAAAAAAACAGGCAUCAUAGUCUGCCUGUGCUGGACGCUAUGCUAGACACUGGAGAGACAAAGGUGAGCAGGAUAGGCACAACCCUACCCUUACAAACCCAGAAAGUUAGAGGAAAGGCCAUCAGGACAUUGCUGUGCAAUUUGAUAUCAUUUCAAUUUUGGUAACAUAGAUAUUUGAACUAAUUAGAAUGUGCUACAAAUUUUGCCAUUCUUUACUUUCCAUAUGCCAACAUGGAAAAUUUGUAACCCUCAUCUUUAAAUACCUCAUCUUACCAGUCCUCUAUAAAUCAAAAAAUCUACCCCAAAAAGCCCUAGGUUUUAACUUUUGAAAAGUUUUUUUUUAUCAGCUUUUCAGGUCAUGACUAAGAUCUGCCAUUCAAUUUAAAGGAAUUCUUUCAUUUUAGAGUAAUAGUUACUAAAAUCCUUUAUUCCUACCUCCUUGAGAAUCUAAUGGAAAUUUUAUAUGCUCUUCCCAGAAAAUUUUUGUUAAUGUGUAUCCUCACACACCAAUUUGCAUUCGAUGUUAGCAGGCUAGAGACUUCCUUGAAUCUCAGCCAUGACCCUCUUCGGGGGUCCACUUUCAUAAUCAGUAUUCUAAACCUAGUAGGCAUAAAUAGCUUGAAUAGAGGAAAGUGGUAUGUAGACUCUUGCCCUUCACUUGGACUGGGCACCUCUAUCACUUGGACUGGGCACCAGCUAGUGCCCUUAACUAGCUGGUGUCUCCAUUUUUGAUAGUCAUUGGCUAUUGCUUAGCUGAAGCUAUUGAUUUUAACAGCCUUAUUGUUUUGAUAUCAGGCUGCCACUCUGCAGAAGUCUAAUACUGGGGAAGGAGCACCGGCCUGAGAACCAUGGUUUGUUUCUAGGACCAACUCUGCAGAUUUCUGUGCCUCAUUUUGCUCAUCUCUAAGAUGGGUGGUUGAUGGGUGGCAGGGACUGAACCAUUUCUAAAAUCCCUUACACUGAUGAAAUUCUGUGAUUCCAGUGUAACUACCAAGCUCACUUUCAUAUACCUCCUGAGACACAGCUGGUCUUAGUGAAUUUAUAUCCUCUAUGUCCAAAGUAAGUCAAAGUAAGUACCACUAUAAUUCACUAUAGAAUGUAUUUUUGUCUUUCACUGAUCUUACUGGACUCAAAACUGUUACAUGUUUCCUUAAAUUAGAUAGAAUAAAAAAAUUGUGAAACACUACUUUUCAAGGAAAAAUAUUACAAUUUUAAAAGCCUCUUUUUAUCCCACCUCUCAGUAGCUACAACUUUCAUAUACGAGUUUCACAUAUAUAUGAAAAAAAUUUUCUUAUCUCAGACUCUUAAGGAAAUGCAAUGCUUUUAAUAUGAUCACUGCUGUGUAAUUCUCAUCUGCCCUGAAACACUUGUUCUGUCCAUCAAUCAAUGUAUUUGGGUUUACAAUAUGCAGAGCCUCAAGCAAAACCAGUGCAAAAGCACAUCUAUCCUCAAAUAGGCACAUCAUAUGUCUGAGCAGUUCAGCAUCCUCACUCACAAGUCCAAGGCUCUCAGCAAUGUGGAAGAAGAUGUGAUUCCUAAAAUUACCACCCUUACACACAGUGACACACUCACCAGAAAGUGAGGCUUAACAUAGCUUAAGUGGCUGUAGUUUAAAACAGAUUGUGAAUAUCUGUGCUAAUUCUGAGAAACAAUUAGCAGACAUAUUAACCAAUUAGCACAGAUCACUAAUAUCUGUGCUAAUUGUUAGGACAGAUUAGCACAGAUAUUGCUACCUUGUGUGGGUAGACAGGGUUAAGGCACUGGCAGAAGGAAAGAUUAGUGAGGAAUAUCAAAUAGCUGAUUUAAUGAAAUUGUGAGGCCGAUGUUUGGAUAAGGUGAAACAGUGCCCUACAAUGACAUUUAUGCCAGUUCUCCAUAAACAAGAGUGUUCUACACAAAUUAUAAGUUCCUGGCUGUCUUAACAAAAUGCUAUGGUCCUUUAUAUGCUCACACAAAUAAUGGUUCCAAGCAUGGGAAACAGGUGCCAGAUUGCCCAGGUAGGCAUCCCAGCAGCAUGCUCCUUAGCCACUGAUUAACCUUGCGCAAGUUAUUUCACCUGCCUGUGCCUCAAGGCCCCUGUGUUUCAAUGGGGAGGGUGUGAAUACUCAUUCCUAAGGUUGUGAGGAGGAAUAACUGAGUUAGUAUACGUCAAACACUUAGGUGCUUGGCACAGAGGGAGCCUGUGUAAGUGUUUGCUAUUAUUUUGUUUCACUAGAUGAUCUUGUGUAUUAUAAGAAAUCAAUUUGGAAGGUGAGAUACAAAUGCAGUCUGAGAAAGUAAAGACGUUUUAAAGACAUUUUACUGUGUCAUGAAUUUUCAGAGACCACACUGACAUGGUAAAAAGUUGUUUGGUUUUUAGAAUUUUUGUUUCAGAAUGCAUAUCCUUCUCCUUAACCAAAAGAAAAACUACUAAAAUACUUCUGAAAAUUAUUUCCAAGAAAACAUUUUGGUGUACCUUUUAGCAGUUACUUUAUGACUUAAAGAUUAGGAUGAACAAAAUAAUUAUUUUAACUUGGCUUUUACCUGCUUGUAGAUAACCUCUAAUUUAUAUAAUGGUUCAAUUAUACAGUGGUAAAUGUAUCUGGGCUUGUUCUUUUAAAAUAGCAAGUGUAACAUGUGAUAGAUGUAGGGUACUUACAAAGUACUCACCAAGCAUUGAUGACUGAUGUCAUUAGUAUCAUGGCUAACAUUCACUGAGCCCUGAUUAUGAGGCUGGCACCCAACUAAAUGUUUUGCAUUGUCACUUCAUCUUCACAAAGACUUUUUGAAUAGGUUAUUCUUUAUCUCCAUUUUCAGAGAAGCAACUAAGCCCUAAAGAGGUUUAUUAACUUGCCAAAUACCACACAGCUAGUAACACUGGUGGGGUCUGGAAUGGAACCCAGGCAAGCUGAAAACGACAGAACAAUGAACACUCCUACUUUUCAAUUCGAUUUGCUAAUUGUUAAUAUUUGCCACACUGGCUUAUCUCUCUGUAUCCCUACCCAUCUCUCUCUCUCUCUGUCUAUAUCUAUAUGCAAACCUGGCAUCUAACUUCUAAAUGCUUGAGCACGGAUCUCCUAAGAACAAGUACAUGGUUCUAUGCAAUGAAAAGACAUGAUUAUGGCAUCCAAGAGUGAUUUUAAAAAUCAAGGAUGAAACUUAAUUUUUACCCACAAGUCCAGACGAUGAUUUCUACCAGUAUUCUCCAGCUUUACUCUGUUUCUUAUACUUGACAGACUGAGCUCCAAGCCUGGAAUCUUCUAAAAAGGGUCCACUGCCAAUCUGGAAUGCCAACAAAUCUUAUUAAUAUAUCUCCACAUUUGUAAGCUUCUACUAAAUUCUCCAAGAACCUGCAUAUCAGUUAAGUCCUGAAAUGCUCCAGUGCCAAAUAAAAGCCCACUGUGCAGAUAGAAAUGCUUUUGGUGACUCUCAAACAUUUAUUCAAAGGUAUUUAGUGAGUAUCUGUCAGCUGUAUAUCCAGCACUGAGGGAAGACUCAGUCUCUGCCAUCACAUACACCUCAGCACUAAGAAGAGACACAUGAAAUAAUUACCAUCCAGUGUGAUAAGUGCUCUGACAGAGGAUGGAGUGAGGACUAGUCACCUUGGGGAAGACAGAGAAGCAGGGUCCCACCAGGAGAUGAGAAGCCAGCCUCCAGGAGUGCGCUAUCUGAGAGGGCAAGAGAAGGAAGGCAAAGAGGACGGGUCCAUACUUGAACAACUUGAAGUAGGUGUAUCUAGUGCCUAAGAGUGUGUAUGGUGACAUCUUGUGGAGCAGUGAACAUGACCCUCAUUUGGUUUGUUAAAGCAUUGGGUCAAAUGCCACGGGAAUGUAACAGAUAACUUGUCUGCAUUUCAAGAACAACCUACCAGAGACCUUACCUGUCACCUUGGCUCUCCCACCCAAUGGAGAUGGCUCUAAUGGUGGCACAAACCAGGAAGGGGAAAUCUGUGGUUUAAAUUCUUUAUGCCUCAUCCUCUGAGUGCUGAAGGCUUGCUGUAGGCUGUAUGCUGUUAAUGCUAAUCGUGAUAGGGGUUUUUGCCUCCAACUGACUCCUACAUAUUAGCAUUAACAGUGUAUGAUGCCUGUUACUAGCAUUCACAUGGAACAAAUUGCUGCCGUGGGAGGAUGACAAAGAAGCAUGAGUCACCCUGCUGGAUAAACUUAGACUUCAGGCUUUAUCAUUUUUCAAUCUGUUAAUCAUAAUCUGGUCACUGGGAUGUUCAACCUUAAACUAAGUUUUGAAAGUAAGGUUAUUUAAAAGAUUUAUCAGUAGUAUCCUAAAUGCAAACAUUUUCAUUUAAAUGUCAAGCCCAUGUUUGUUUUUAUCAUUAACAGAAAAUAUAUUCAUGUCAUUCUUAAUUGCAGGUUUUGGCUUGUUCAUUAUAAUGUUCAUAAACACCUUUGAUUCAACUGUUAGAAAUGUGGGCUAAACACAAAUUUCUAUAAUAUUUUUGUAGUUAAAAAUUAGAAGGACUACUAACCUCCAGUUAUAUCAUGGAUUGUCUGGCAACGUUUUUUAAAAGAUUUAGAAACUGGUACUUUCCCCCAGGUAACGAUUUUCUGUUCAGGCAACUUCAGUUUAAAAUUAAUACUUUUAUUUGACUCUUAAAGGGAAACUGAAAGGCUAUGAAGCUGAAUUUUUUUAAUGAAAUAUUUUUAACAGUUAGCAGGGUAAAUAACAUCUGACAGCUAAUGAGAUAUUUUUUCCAUACAAGAUAAAAAGAUUUAAUCAAAAAAUUUCAUAUUUGAAAUGAAGUCCCAAAUCUAGGUUCAAGUUCAAUAGCUUAGCCACAUAAUACGGUUGUGCGAGCAGAGAAUCUACCUUUCCACUUCUAAGCCUGUUUCUUCCUCCAUAUGGGGAUAAUACUUUACAAGGUUGUUGUGAGGCUUAGAUGAGAUAGAGAAUUAUUCCAUAAGAUAAUCAAGUGCUACAUUAAUGUUAUAGUUAGAUUAAUCCAAGAACUAGUCACCCUACUUUAUUAGAGAAGAGAAAAGCUAAUGAUUUGAUUUGCAGAAUAUUUAAGGUUUGGAUUUCUAUGCAGUUUUUCUAAAUAACCAUCACUUACAAAUAUGUAACCAAACGUAAUUGUUAGUAUAUUUAAUGUAAACUUGUUUUAACAACUCUUCUCAACAUUUUGUCCAGGUUAUUCACUGUAACCAAAUAAAUCUCAUGAGUCUUUAGUUGAUUUAAAAUAAUUUUUAUGGCCCAUUUUCUUUUGCAAAGUACAAAUUAUAAUUCCAGAAGCUAUCUGCCAAAAAAAGACAAUGGAAGAAAAUUAUGAGGACACUAAAGGGAACAUUCCUGACUCCUAGGACACAGUAUUCUCAUGUAAGAAUACCCAUUUGGCUUUGCCCCACUUUCUGUUCAAGUUGUAUGUGCUGCCAAGACAAAUUUCUUCUCCUCACUUUCUGUUCAAGUUGUAUGUGCUGCCAACACAAAUUUCUUCUCCUAACACCUGGAAUGAGCUUGUGGCUCCACGGAGCUCCCAUGUAGGUAGAACACAUUCAAGAGUGUUUCUUCAGGCCAGGCACAGUGGCUCACGCCUAUAAUUCCAACACUUUGGGAGGCCAAGGCGGGUGGUUCACUUGAGGUCAGGAGUUCUACACUACCCUGGCCAACAUAGUGAAACCUCGUCUCUACUAAAAAUACAAAAAUUAGCUAGGCAUGGUGGUGCGUGCCUGUAAUCCCAGAUACUCAGGAGGCUGGGGCAGAAGAAUCACUUGAACCCAGGAGGUGGAGUUCACAGUGAACGAAGAUCGUGCCACUGCCCUCCAGCCUGGGUGACAGAGUGAGACUCCAUCUCAAAAAAAAAAAAAAGUGUCUGUUCAAUUCAUUUUAUCUGCCACUGUAUAUCUACAAGAGGACUCCUUGCUUUGAGUCCCAGUUCUUCAAAAUCCUGCUUGCUGCCUAAAGACACAAAGUCAUAGAACAUUAGGACUGGAAUAAACUAUUGUAGUAUAACCUUCCUGCUGUUACAAUAAAAAGCUAUAAACAUUACAAAGGCACUUAAAGAAAAGCUGUGCUGGGAAAUGCCUUAUUUGAAGAGCAUUUGGGUACACUCACAUGAAGCUUUGGAAAGUUACUUAAUCUUCCUCUAAGCCUCAAUUUCUUCAUCAAUAAAAUGAUGAAUAUAUUUCAUAUUUCAUAAGAUGUAGGCUUAAAUGAAAUCAUGCAUGUGAAAAGCACAAUGUCUAUUAUGCAUUAAGUGUUAAACACAAACUUUCAAACUUUUACAUUUCAGUCAUUUAAAUCAAAUGAUCUACCAUAGCAGAUCUCCCCAAAGACACUCUAGCUCCAAACUAACUAUAAUCAAUCCCGUGGUGACGACCCAAAGAACCAGGGUUCCUGGGUUUUCUCUCACGCCCAGCCCACCUAGGCUUCUGACUGCCUAUCUCCUCAUCUUAGAGGGAUUCCUCCUGACCAGUCAUUACAAAAAUUCUUGGAGCAUGAGCAAGACUGAGUCUGUGUUUGGAUUGGAGGAAGGGGUAAGUAACAAGGUAUAUAUAUGUAUAUGUGUGUGUGUGUGUGUGUGUGUGUGUGUGUGUGUGUGCGCGCGCGUUUGUGUUUAAGUUACAAACUAAGGAUGGUUUUAAAAAAUUGCAAAAUGUUAAGAGAUUUAUCUAGGAUCUGACCCACUUCCCCAGAAAUUUACGGAAUUCAAGACCAAGCCUUUCGUAUUCACUGUCAUCAGUUAGAUGGACCCAGUAGCUAAAAAAUUAAGGAGAAAAAAAAUAGAGGAAUAUGAGGGAAAAAGUCAAGUCAGAGGACUGAAGAAUAUAUACAGAACAUAGAAUAUUAGAAAUUUUCUGAAAAUAGAUGAUAGCAAAUACCUCAAGAAAGUGAGGAAACGUGAAAAGGGAGCUUAAAGAAAAAUAAUAGAGUCCAUACAUGGGACACAAGCACAAAAAGCUGACUGAGCAUGUGGUUCUCUACUAAUAAUAACUGGAAAACAGUGAAACCAGCAGGAAAAACUUGCACAUAAGAGUUUAACUUUCCACUUUGGGUUUCAAAUUCUCCCAUAGCAAUAAGAGUAAGUGAAAUAAUGUUCACAUAAGGAUUUUUUUUUUUUCUAUUACUGUAGUGUUUUGUUUUGUUUUGUUUUGGUUUUGGUUUUUGGUGGUUUUUUUUUUUUUGAGACAAAGUCUCGCUCUUGUCCCCCAGUCUGGAGUGCAAUGUCAUGAUCUUGGCUCACUGCAACCUCCGCCUCCCGGGUUCAAGUGAUUCUCCUGCCUCAGCCUCCCAAGUGGCUGGGAUUACAGGUGCGUACCACCACGCCCAGCUAAUUUUUUGUAUUUUAAGCAGAGACGGGGUUUCACCAUGUUGGCCAGGCUGGUCUCGAACUCCUGACCUCAGGUGAUCCAUCCAUCUCAGCCUCCCAAAGUGCUGGGAUUACAGGUGUGAGCCACCGCACCCGGCCUGUUACUGUAGUGUUUUAACAAAUCUAAGUGUAAUAGUAUUAGUCUUCAUUCAUCUAAGACAUACAAGUACUGGAAUUUUUUAGGUGGGUUCCUCAAAUGUCAUCACAGUGGUGUCUUCUCUACAUUCAGUCACUCUUCCGCCCUUCUCUGUAAUGCUCAGGGAUUUCCCAGUUCACUAGCACUUAACAUAGUAUGUCCUUACUUACUUUGGGGUAUAAAUGACUGCAAUAGAAGAAGUGAUAUCCUUGAGGGAUGAAACACGAUCUUGCAUAUUCAUAUCCCUUUCAAAUGUUUACUGACUUAAUCACACCAUUAGUUUUCUAAGUCCAAGUCUAAAAACAGAAAUGAGUUUAAAUACAGUGAACAUUUCAUUUUCACUAUACCACUAAGCUGAAAGAAAUGAUUUUUGGUAAAUAAAAGUUCAUCACAGUGAAAAGUUCUACAUAUAACUGAAGAUCAAAGGAUUCUCACCUGGGAAGCUUGUCAAGAUGCAUGUUCCCAAGCUCCCAGGCUCCCACUCCCAGAGAUUCUAAUACUGUAAUGGAGCUGAGGACACUACAUUUUUAACAGGCUGACCAGGUAGUUCAGAUUCAGGUGGUUCCUAAACCAACUCUGAGGAAGUAGUGGUUUUAUAUACGAUGCUACUGUUGAUGUGGCUACUAGGAAUGGUGCUCAGCAGAAAUCCUGCAACAUAUGGAUCUGUUUACACACUAUUCACUGUGUAAUGAGAGUCUGCAACAUAGGCUAAGUAAUAAGAGAUGUCUUGUGGUUGACCUCUCUGGAGAUAAGCAGCAAUGAAAUUCCAAUGAAGUUUCAUCAUCUCUCAUCACCAAAACCAUCCUAACCACCUCAAUAAAAUACACCUGACUUCCCCCGCUCCCCCGACCCACCACCCCAAAACCAGCUGCCCUAUGUUCUACCAAAAGCUGCAACCAACCAAUGACCUGAUACUAACCCCAAUCUAUCAGCUGCUGCCUAGUGCAACAGAGAGGGAAAGUCAAUGAGAAGGAAUUGGGUGCCAGUUCUUGCUUUGCAAGGAGUGGGUUGACUAAUGAGACAGCCACAAAUGUCACUGCCAUCCCAUCUCACCCUUUCACCUGUGCUGCAAGGCUUCAACAAUCAUACCCAGUCUCCACUUAGGAAAAUUCUGUCCUUUCUCAAAUGCUGGCCACUCAGCAAUGUGCUCCCUUAAUCCAGGCCAAGCACAUAGUAAAAGAACUCCAAAAAGGGUUACAGCCAAAAGUGAUCUUUCUCCUCCAUACUCCCAAAGCAGAUUAUAGCUCCUCCAUAAACGUGCUUCGCAUUGUGCCCCACGUUUGGUUUGUUACUUGUGUAUACAUUAUCGUCUCUUCUAGAUUGAGCUUCUGUAGGAAAGGAGAAUCCUUUUCAAUUUUUUGGUAUUACACCCAGCUCAGGACCUUGCUCAGUUGCUUAAAUUGAAUGAGAAAAUGUAUCUAAGUACCCACUGAUGUUGGAAAUUCAACUUGUUCCAAUAUUGAGGACUGCCUAUACCUGGCAUAUGCGUGUCCCAAUUUGAGAAAUUGUUUUUCAAGUUGACUUGUAUGGAUUCCUUACAGACGCUCAAGCAUCAGUUUGGUUUUCCCUAAAUCCUGCAGAUCAGGAAGGCAGUAUCCAUGUUUGCUUUAAGAAAUUUCAUUACUAUAAAUAUAUGAAAUAU